rnacentral:rRNA from 1 species
GGAGGAAAAGAAACCAACAGGGAUUGCCUCAGUAACGGCGAGUGAAGCGGCAAAAGCUCAAAUUUUAAAGCUGGCACCUCCGGUGUCCGCGUUGUAAUUUUGUGAGGCAUCUCCGGGUGGGGCGCCGGCCUAAGUUCCUUGGAACAGGACGUCAUAGAGGGUGAGAAUCCCGUGCUUGGCUGGCUGUCCCCGUCCAUGUGAGGUGUCUUCGACGAGUCGAGUUGUUUGGGAAUGCAGCUCAAAAUGGGUGGUAAAUUUCAUCUAAAGCUAAAUAUUGGUGGGAGACCGAUAGCGCACAAGUAGAGUGAUCGAAAGAUGAAAAGCACUUUGAAAAUAGAGUUAAAAAGUACGUGAAAUUGUUGAAAGGGAAGCGCUUGAGACCAGACUUCGGUGGGGAGUGAUCAGCCGUCCUUCUGGGCGGUGCACUUGCCCCCCUCCGGGCCAGCAUCGGUUGGGACGGCGGGAUAAAGGUCCCGGGAAUGUGGCUCCUCUCGGGGAGUGUUAUAGCCCGGGUGAAUGCCGCCAGCCCCGACCGAGGACCGCGCCUUCGGGCUAGGAUGCUUGGCAUAAUGGUCUUCAGCGA